UACAGCCUUCUGACUUGCAAAUGUUGGUAUGUGUGUGAUUGCUAUAGCAAUUACCAACUCCCAAUAUUUGAAAAAUGCAUGACUAAGCAAAUGUCCCUCUUAACUCACAUUUCAGCAACAUGAAUCCACAGUGGACAGUCCAUGAAACACAGUGAGCAGAAAGUAGUAGUAGAAGACUUUCCAUAAAACCCCCAUGAACUAAACAUCAGUGUGGCUAUAAAUCUGACUUCCUUUUGUUUUCUUCCUUUUCAUUUUGAGACAGGAUCCCUCACACAGCCUAGGCUGGCAUUAAACUAGCUAUGUAGCCAAGGAUAAACUUGAAUUUAUGAUCCUCCUUCUUGUACCUCCAAAAUUUGGGGAUUAUGGAAUAAGCUACCACACCCAGUUUAUUUGGUGCAAGAGAACAAAUUCGGGGCUUGGUGGAUACGAGUCCCUUAAACUAUGGUGUGAAAUGGGAGCUGAGGGAAAAAGUUAUCAAAGAAACUCAAGCAAUACAGGAAAGAAUUACUGAAGACGCUUAAUUCACAGAACAAGAGGGUGGAAUGACAGGUCAGCUGAGUUACUGAAGUUAUGUAUGGGACCCAUUCCCCAUGUGAUCACUAGAAGACAAGCAUUACUCUUCAGAUAGACCACCAAGAUGGGUUGCUGUUGGGGUAAGUCUCACAGAGGAGACAGGAUGAGCUGAGAAGAGAGGUGCACCCAGUGGAGAAGGAGCCUGCAGAGAAAACUGGAAGAAAGAAACCACUGAGAAUGCAGGCCUGCAGCACCCUGGAAAGCAGCAUCACACAACCAAAGGUAAACCAGUUAAGAAACAUGGAUGGACAGCCUGUGAUUGCUCUCACUUCAUCUUUUAAAAGCCCUAAGCCCCAGUUGGACAGAAUCAUAUCUGACUUCAAUCUGACCUCUCUUCCAUAUUGCAAUUGCCUGAGUAAAAUUGUCACUGCCUGUU